CUUCCCCUGAAUAGAACAAUCCUCCCACCAAACUAUCACAAAAGGGAAAGGCUAAAAGAACAUGCAUCUGAAGUAAUAAUUAGUUAGGGAAUCUUUACUUUAAAGGAGCUUUACCUGAAAUUAUUGCCUUCCCUUGUCCGGCUGUUCAGACUUUCAGCAUACCUGAGCAACUGGCUUAUCCUAAGGAGCUUCUGAGCUCAGAAGGGGCUGAUGUGCCAGCCAGGGCAGCAGUUUCCUGGACACCUGCCUAGCAUACAAUAGGUCAACCCCCUUCAGACAAAUCCACACUUCUUUGCUUUCUACAGAACCAGCACUGGGAGAGAACUGGCUCAAAUGAGUGUGGGCUCCAAUCUCUACCUCAAUGUAUCUCAGAGAACUUCUGUCUGCCCUGAUGUAUCUUAUAACGUACCCAGGAAGGAAAAACUUAGGCCACCUUCAAAUACUAUCCCUGAUGUUCCUAGCUAUAUGACUGACUGUGGACAAGAAAUCUGACCUCUUUGAGCCUCAUUUUCCUCAUCCAUAAAACGGAGAGAAUAACCAUCUGUAGUACCUACAUCAGAGCUUUGGGGUGAGAGUCAAAUGAGAUUACGAAUGCACAAUGCUUUGUGAACUUGAAAACACUGUGAAAAUGGCACUCGUUAUUAAUUUUAUUUCUGAAACAAAAUCUCUACAGUUCCUAUGUGUGGUUUGUGAAAUAACCUGAAAUAAAGGAUGGUAGUAACAUCUA